AACGAACGCUGGCGGCAGGCUUAACACAUGCAAGUCGAACGCACUCUUCGGAGUGAGUGGCAGACGGGUGAGUAACGCGUGGGAAUCUACCCAGCCCUUCGGAAUAGCUCCGGGAAACUGGAAUUAAUACCGAGUACGCCUACGGGGAAAGAUUUAUCGGGUUGGAUGAGCCCGCGCUGGAUUAGCUAGUUGGUGGGGUAAUGGCCUACCAAGGCGACGAUCCAUAGCUGGUCUGAGAGGAUGAUCAGCCACACUGGGACUGAGACACGGCCCAGACUCCUACGGGAGGCAGCAGUGGGGAAUA
rnacentral:rRNA from 1 species